CGCUGGACAGACUCAACCGAACUGAAGAGGAAUUAUUAGUCAACUUCAUGUUACAUUGGCAAGCCACUCUACUACACGUAUUGCGCCGCAACAGGGUAAAAGUCCACAAUUAGGUGAAUGACAAUUUAUGCCUCAUGCCGCGGUAUGAGAAGGCCAGCCGAGACGCGAACCCCUGCUCCAGACGAGAUUAGCUGAUUGAACUGACUGUUUAGGUCAUGAUAAGGAGUAAAUUUAAAAUAUGCUAGUUUUAAAAACUUGCCAUGUCUUUAUUGGAAAGCCUAAUUAUAGUUCUCAGAUUAAUAACUUGUUCUGUCCUGUUAAUCUUUAUGUCACCUAUAGAUAAAGUAGAUUGUUUGCCGAGAUCUUUUGAACUGCCCUUUGUGUGGGAAAUCAGGAGAAGUUCCAGCUUUCACACUGAUCUGUGAAAAGCCUUGAAACAGCAGGAAUUGAGGAAACUCCGGUACCAAAUCGAUGCAGGAAUAUCAAAGAGUUGGCCAUGUAGGUAAAACACGGGGCUUGCAGAACAGCCGGGACACAACUGAAGUGUCCGCCCGUGCUGCCGGGCCUGGGUAGCAUAAAUUAUAAUACAGCUCAGACGACAAAGAAUAGUGCGCUGACUAGCGACGAAUAACUAAUGUGAAGCAGAUAGAUAACUGCGGUGACCAAACGACCCGUUAAUGAUGGGCUGCACUGCUCGCAGUUGAGUGCACAUGCAUCUGCUAUUUAUAC